AUACGUAGGGUCCGAGCGUUGUCCGGAAUUAUUGGGCGUAAAGAGCUCGUAGGCGGCCUGUCGCGUCUGCUGUGAAAGUCCGGGGCUUAACUCCGGGUGUGCAGUGGAUACGGGCAGGCUUGAGGUAGGUAGGGGAGACUGGAAUUCCUGGUGUAGCGGUGAAAUGCGCAGAUAUCAGGAGGAACACCGGUGGCGAAGGCGGGUCUCUGGGCCUUACCUGACGCUGAGGAGCGAAAGCGUGGGGAGCGAACAGGAUUAGAUACCCUGGUAGUCCACGCCGUAAACGUUGGGCGCUAGGUGUGGGGACUUUCCACGGUUUCCGUGCCGUAGCUAACGCAUUAAGCGCCCCGCCUGGGGAGUACGGCCGCAAGGCUAAA
rnacentral:rRNA from 1 species